UGACGUAAACAUCACAUCAAGAAAAACAUGGCGGGGAAGUGUGUACAUGGGGACAAUUAUUUGCUACUCCUCGUUGCUAAAUAAAAGCAAUUUUCUCCCAGCAAAUGAUAUAUUUUUGAAAAGGUCACAAUGUUUCGUCGGUCAAGAUUUAAUGUUCGUCCCAACGUCAGUACGGUGGGGAGAACAGCAGCAGCAGCAGCACCUCAGGAAACCCCUUCUGCAAAUCAGGAGGCCAGUGACCUCUCCAGAGAUGUCAGUGUGAACAUCGCUGCUGCUGCUGUGACCAAUAACAAGUCUACUGUGACCCCAUCAGAAAAUACUACGGCUCCAGAUUAUGGUAAGAACCAAAAUGAGGAAGGAACCAACUCUUCAGCUGCAGUCCAGAGAAGGAAGCGGUUUGCUGUCAAGCCCAAGGUGGCCCCAGGUCGCCCCUCCACUGUUGCUCGGAUGCCAAAGUCACCUGUAAAGGCAACUGUUGUUGAAGUGUCUGGCUUGGACCUCGAUAAGCCAACAACAUCCAGCCAAAUCAGUCCUGCGGCGGGCCCC